GGCGAGUGAAGCGGGAAUGGCUCAAAUUUGAAAUCUCCGUUGCUUGCAACGGCGAAUUGUAGUUUCGAGAAGCACUUUCUAGGCGGAUCGGCCCUGUCUAAGUUGCUUGGAACAGCACGUCAUAGAGGGUGACAACCCCGUCUGGGACGGGGCCGGCCGCUGACGAUGUGUUUUCGAAGAGUCGGGUUGUUUGGGAAUGCAGCCCAAAAUGGGUGGUAAACUCCAUCUAAAGCUAAAUACAGGCACGAGACCGAUAGCGAACAAGUACCGUGAGGGAAAGAUGAAAAGAACUUUGAAAAGAGAGUUAAAAAGUACGUGAAACCGUUGAAAGGGAAACGAAUGGAGUUAGCAAUGCACUCUGCGAGAUUCAGCCGGUCGGUGGUCUGGACGGGCGGUAUGCGGAUCUGAAUGGACCGCUGCCGUUCGGCUCGGGCUCCCGACCGUCGCACUUCUUGCGGGUGCGCGUCAACGUCGGUUUUGGGCCGGUCUUAAAUGCUCUGGGAAGGUAGGUCGAUGGCUUCGGCUAUCGACUGUUACAGCCCUCUGCCAUGGCCGGCCCGGGAUCGAGGAGUCGCAGCGCGUGCCUCUUUUGGCUAGGGUCCCGUAGUGCCGGUCGGUCGUCGAGCGCGGUGGACUGCUUGCAGUGCUCCCAAACUGCGGUCGGUCGCUACUGCGGUGACUUCGUACUACGCGCUAAGGACGUUGGCGGUCAUAUGGCUUCAUCCGACCCGUCUUGAAACACGGACCAAGGAGUCUAACAUGUGCGCGAGUCUUAGGGUGAUUGAAACCCCGAGGCACAAUGAAAGUGAAGGCGGCUCGUCCGCUGAGGUGAGAACCUCUCCUCCGGGAGGGGCGCAUCAUUGACCGAUCUAUUCUACUCUUAGGAAGAUUGAGUAAGAG
rnacentral:rRNA from 1 species